UACGUAGGUGGCAAGCGUUGUCCGGAUUUACUGGGCGUAAAGGGUGCGUAGGCGGACAUUUAAGUCAGAUGUGAAAUCCCCGAGCUUAACUUGGGUGCUGCAUUUGAAACUGGGUGUCUAGAGUGCAGGAGAGGUAAGUGGAAUUCCUAGUGUAGCGGUGAAAUGCGUAGAGAUUAGGAAGAACACCAGUGGCGAAGGCGACUUACUGGACUGUAACUGACGCUGAGGCAUGAAAGCGUGGGGAGCAAACAGG
rnacentral:rRNA from 1 species